rnacentral:rRNA from 1 species
CCUACGGGGUGCAGCAGUGAGGAAUAUUGGUCAAUGGGCGCGAGCCUGAACCAGCCAAGUCGCGUGAAGGAUGACUGCCCUACGGGUUGUAAACUUCUUUUAUAAAGGAAUAAAGUGAGGCACGUGUGCCUUUUUGUAUGUACUUUAUGAUUAAGGAUCGGCUAACUCCGUGCCAGCAGCCGCGGUAAUACGGAGGAUCCGAGCGUUAUCCGGAUUUAUUGGGUUUAAAGGGAGCGUAGAUGGGUUGUUAAGUCAGUUGUGAAAGUGUGCGGCUCAACCGUAAAAUUGCAAUUGAUACUGGCAGCCUUGAGGACAGUUGAGGUAGGCGGAAUUCGUGGUGUAGCGGUGAAAUGCUUAGAUAGCACGAAGAACUCCGAUUGCGAAGGCAGCUUACUAAACUGCCACUGACAUUGAUGCUCGAAAGUGUGGGUAUCAAACAGGAUUAGAUACCCCAGUAGUC